rnacentral:rRNA from 1 species
CCUACGGGAGGCAGCAGUGGGGAAUAUUGGACAAUGGGGGGCAACCCUGAUCCAGCCAUGCCGCGUGAGUGAUGGCGGCCUUAGGGUUGUAAAGCUCUUUUCUCCGGGACGAUAAUGACGGUACCGGAGGAAUAAGCCCCGGCUAACUUCGUGCCAGCAGCCGCGGUAAUACGAAGGGGGCUAGCGUUGCUCGGAAUCACUGGGCGUAAAGGGCGCGUAGGCGGCUGACUUAGUCGAGGGUGAAAGCCCGUGGCUCAACCACGGAAUGGCCUUCGAUACUGGUUGGCUUGAGACCGGAAGAGGACAGCGGAACUGCGAGUGUAGAGGUGAAAUUCGUAGAUAUUCGCAAGAACACCAGUGGCGAAGGCGGCUGUCUGGUCCGGUUCUGACGCUGAGGCGCGAAAGCGUGGGGAGCAAACAGGAUUAGAUACCCUGGUAGUCCACGCUGUAAACGAUGAAUGCUAGCCGUUGGUCUGCAUGCAGUCGAGUGCGCGCACGACAUAGNAUCGCCGUGGGAGGUACGGUCGCGAGAAUUAAAACUUAAAAGUAAAGUUAGACGGCGUGAGACGUGCCGAACGGACGACGACGAGGGAGGUAGG